rnacentral:rRNA from 1 species
ACUCCUGCGGGAGGCAGCAGUGGGGAAUAUUGGACAAUGGGCGCAAGCCUGAUCCAGCCAUGCCGCGUGAGUGAUGAAGGCCCUAGGGUUGUAAAGCUCUUUCACCGGUGAAGAUAAUGACGGUAACCGGAGAAGAAGCCCCGGCUAACUUCGUGCCAGCAGCCGCGGUAAUACGAAGGGGGCUAGCGUUGUUCGGAUUUACUGGGCGUAAAGCGCACGUAGGCGGACUAUUAAGUCAGGGGUGAAAUCCCGGGGCUCAACCCCGGAACUGCCUUUGAUACUGGUAGUCUUGAGUUCGAGAGAGGUGAGUGGAAUUCCGAGUGUAGAGGUGAAAUUCGUAGAUAUUCGGAGGAACACCAGUGGCGAAGGCGGCUCACUGGCUCGAUACUGACGCUGAGGUGCGAAAGCGUGGGGAGCAAACAGGAUUAGAAACCCGUGUAGUCCCA